rnacentral:ncRNA from 1 species
AAAGGCUGAUUGUUACAAGAAACCUUUUCUAAUCGUAAAGUCAGAAUUCUGAUCUAAUCUCGAUUUUUUCCACUUCAUAAAAGUCAGAAACUUAAAGCCUUAAAGAACCUUCAGGUCAGAAUUGCUUUUCUCCGUGGCCCUAAUCCUCUUCCGUAGUUAGCAGUCAAGAAAAAGGGGAAGAAGAGUUGUGGUGCGUUCAGGUUAUUUCAGAAGUAACCAAGAACGCACCAACCAAGAACGAAAGUCGGAGGUUCGAAGACGAUCAGAUACCGUCGUAGUUCCGACCAUAAACCGACUAGCGUUAUUCCCAUGACCCGCCGGGCAGCGUCCGGGAAACCAAAGUCUU